rnacentral:rRNA from 1 species
GUCCACGCCGUAAACGUUGGGCGCUAGGUGUGGGGCCAUUCCACGGUCUCCGUGCCGCAGCUAACGCAUUAAGCGCCCCGCCUGGGGAGUACGGCCGCAAGGCUAAAACUCAAAGGAAUUGACGGGGGCCCGCACAAGCGGCGGAGCAUGUUGCUUAAUUCGAUGCAACGCGAAGAACCUUACCUAGGCUUGACAUGUACGGAAAUCUCGCAGAGAUGCGGGGUGCCUUUGGCGUCGUGCACAGGUGGUGCAUGGUUGUCGU